rnacentral:rRNA from 1 species
UACGUAGGGCGCAAGCGUUGUCCGGAAUUAUUGGGCGUAAAGAGCUCGUAGGCGGCCUGUUACGUCUGCUGUGAAAUCCCGGGGCUUAACCCCGGGCGUGCAGUGGAUACGGGCAGGCUGGAGGCAGGCAGGGGAGAACGGAAUUCCCGGUGUAGCGGUGAAAUGCGCAGAUAUCGGGAGGAACACCGGUGGCGAAGGCGGUUCUCUGGGCCUUACCUGACGCUGAGGAGCGAAAGCGUGGGGAGCGAACAGG